ensembl:lncRNA
CAAUCAUUCCCAUUCCCCAGGUGUGCACAAUCAUUCCAUUACUCCUUUAUGCUUCGGUACCAUUAAACCAAGGCAUAAACGAGUAACUCUUGGAGUCGAGAUGCUUUUAUGUCCAAAGUGAAAUUCUCAAGAGUUUGUGAGGCUCAUCCACCCUCGGGCCAGCUCAGGGAAGGAACCAGCAGGAACCCAAAGCCUCUGCCUUUUCCAGUCUCCAGGCCCCUGCUGCCACCACUGCCCCAGUCAAGGCCCUCAGCAUGCCCCAACUCAGAGGUGCACCCUCAUUCAUGCUACCCUUCCGAGACCUGCUUCCCCACCCCAGACUGGCUGAAGACCCCAUGGACUCCCGCCCAGCCAAGGGAGAGAGCUGAGAACACUCGACAAAGGGGCUUCAGUGAUGUCAUCUUUGACAGGUGGGAAACUGAUCAGAAACGCCAAAACAUUUGCCCAAACUGCUGACAGUAAGAGGUAACAGUUGGACCGGAGCCAUGCCUCUAAGACUACCAUUAAGGCACUGUCAGGCAGGUCUGUAUGAGGCCCGGUGCCCAAGGCACCCAAGAACUGCAGAGAAUCCUUUGAAAAUGUUUGAGACCCAGAUGCAUAAACACUUGGGCUCUAGAAUGCAAAAGGGGAACGCCAAGUCCAAAUGAACCCAUGUUUUAUUAUGUUUAAGAACAGGAUGUCAACUUUAUUGUGGUUAAAAUCCAUCCAUCUGGAAAGAGGCUUGGGUUGGGAAUGCUCUCCCUGAGAAGACCCCAAGCAGAUCGCCGGCAGUUGUCUACUUUAGAGAGCUGCCUGUGGCCAAUAGAUUUCCAAAGCAAAAUGAUAAAUUACAAGAAUAAUUAACCCGAUGCGCAUUUAGCACGUGGAGAGUCUGCUUCGAGUUGGGAGUGUUUUAACUCCUUUAAUCCCAACAUCGCCUCUACUGGGUGCGGCUGUUUUGAUACAGGUCCAUGCGAUGGGGAAACUGAGGCACAGGGAAGUCAAAGAGCUGAGGAGGGACACAGCUGGGGUUUGAACCUCACCAGACCCCCUCAUGUGGUCGGCACUCUUGACCCCUGUGCUGUCUUCAGCCUUGUGUUUCACGGCAGAGUCUUCAGUGGAAUUGGAGAUGCGGAUACCAUGGUGACCGUUUGAUUUUGAAAGGGUAUGGAUGUCGGGCACGGCGCAGUUUGGGGUUCCAGAUCUGGACGAUGGUGGGAAGCUAGGUCAGGACUCCUCUAUGUCCCCUCCAAUCCCCGUUCUCCUCCCCGGACUGCAAGCCACCCAAGGCAGGUCGCCUCCCGCCCUGGACCUGGCUGCCAGACAGGAUGCAGCCCCGCCCCUGACCACGCCCUGGUGGCCGGCUCUGAUUGGAUCCGGGUGGGUGUAACCCCUAGAGCAGUACUUCAUACAACAGCUGGUAGCGAAUUAGAGGACGUACUUCGAAAGAUCGGCCUGCAAGGCUCUUCUUGCGCGGCAGCAAGUUGUUUAGAAGCUAAGGCUGGGGCUCAGAAAACAUUGUCUCCCCGUUGCCCAGUAGCAUACAGAGGGAGCUCAAGCAAUCGAUAUAUGUUGGACUUCCCUGGUGGACCAGUGGUUAAGAAUCCGCUUGCCAAUGCAGGGGACACGGGUUUGAUCCCUGGUCUGGGAAGAUUCCACAUGCCAGCAGAGCAACCAAGCCCAGUGCACCUCAACUACUGAAGCCUGAGGGAUCUCGAGCCCGCGUUUCUGCAGCUACUGAAGCCUGUGGUGCCCUAGAAUCUGUGCUCCUCAACAAGACAAGCCAAAGCAAUGACAAGCUGGCUAGACUAGAGACUAGAGAGUAGCUCCAUUUUCACAGCUAAAGAAAGGCUGCGUGCAGCAACAAAGAUCCCGUGCAGCUGAAGAUAAGUAAAAUUUAAAAAGAAAUAAAUAUCGACUGGUAUAAUUAAUGAAUUAAUCUGGUAGCAGAGAUUUGGGAGCUCUCCACCCUUGUGAAACAGAAACAGGCCCUGUGGGGCCUUCCCAGUGACAGACAUCUGUGUUCCCCACUUCUUGCUUGUAGAAAAAGCUUUUAGCCUCUUAGGCCUUAUCUGAGAGCAGACUCAGCAAUUGAUGAUUGGAGAAGUGGGAAAUCAGGGACAAAAAUGAAGCAGUCAAGCGGGAAAGUAAUAGCAAAUUAAAUAAUAGGUCCACCAGAAAAAAGAGUCACAAAACCCCUAGCUUCUCCUUGAGGUUACCCCUCUAUGGAGAGCCUUCUGACACAUAUUCUUAUGCUGUUUUGGCAGAAACCAGGACCCUACCAGAUGGAAACUGCUGACCUCAAACAUAUAGAGCCUAAACUGGUUGGAGGCAGAAGAUUGAUCACUCUGUUAACUCACCACCAACCAAUCAGAAAAAUGUCCAUGACAUGGUCAUACACCCUGUGACCCUCACCCCUAAUGCUGCUUUGAAAAACCCUUUCCUGGAAGCCAUCAGAGGUCGGACAUCUUUGGCACUUUGGCUACCUUCUCUUCUUGCUUGGCACUGUUCAAAGGCAAGAAUACUGGAAUGGGUUGCCAUUUUCUUCCUCUAGAGGAUAUUCCCGACCCUGGGAUUGAACCUCCAUCUCCUGUGAUUCCUGCAUUGCAGGCAGAUUCUUUAUCUGCUGAGCCAUCAGGGAAGCCCCUAAAAUGCACCUGAUCCCUCUGGUAACUGAUGACCUGAAAAGAGGCAUGGAGCUGGGCAUGGACAAAAGCAGGAGAGCAGUGACUGGAGUCUGUUGCCUGGGAUUUCAGAAAUGGUCCCCAGACGCUUCUUUCAUCUCUUGGGAGAUGCUCCCCCCACUCUUCACAUUAGGGUCUCCAGACUGAGAGACACUCUGGGAC